AUUGAACGCUGGCGGCAGGCCUAACACGUGCAAGUCGAGCGGAUGAAGGGAGCUUGCUCCUGGAUUCAGCGGCGGACGGGUGAGUAAUGCCUCGGAAUCUGCCUGGUAGUGGGGGACAACGUUUCGAAAGGAACGCUAAUACCGCAUACGUCCUACGGGAGAAAGCAGGGGACCUUCGGGCCUUGCGCUAUCAGAUGAGCCUAGGUCGGAUUAGGUAGUUGGUGAGGUAAUGGCUUACCAAGGCGACGAUGCGUAACUGGUCUGAGAGGAUGAUCGUUCACACUGGAACUGAGACACGGUCCAGACUCCUACGGGAGGCAGCAGUGGGGAAUAUUGGACAAUGGGCGAAAGCCUGAUCCAGCCAUGCCGCGUGUGUGAAGAAGGUCUUCGGAUUGUAAAGCACUUUAAGUUGGGAGGAAGGGUUGUAGAUUAAUACUCUGCAAUUUUGACGUUACCGACAGAAUAAGCACCGGCUAACUCUGUGCCAGCCGCCGCCGUAA
rnacentral:rRNA from 1 species